rnacentral:rRNA from 1 species
CUAUGUGUUGUUGGGUAGGGGAGCGUUCUGUAAGCCUGUGAAGGUGGCCUGUGAGGGUUGCUGGAGGUAUCAGAAGUGCGAAUGCUGACAUAAGUAACGAUAAAGCGGGUGAAAAGCCCGCUCGCCGGAAGACCAAGGGUUCCUGUCCAACGUUAAUCGGGGCAGGGUGAGUCGACCCCUAAGGCGAGGCCGAAAGGCGUAGUCGAUGGGAAACAGGUUAAUAUUCCUGUACUUGGUGUUACUGCGAAGGGGGGACGGAGAAGGCUAUGUUGGCCGGGCGACGGUUGUCCCGGUUUAAGCGUGUAGGCUGGUUUUCCAGGCAAAUCCGGAAAACCAAGGCUGAGGCGUGAUGACGAGGCACUACGGUGCUGAAGUGACAAAUGCCCUGCUUCCAGGAAAAGCCUCUAAGCAUCAGGUAACAUCAAAUCGUACCCCAAACCGACACAGGUGGUCAGGUAGAGAAUACCAAGGCGCUUGAGAGAACUCGGGUGAAGGAACUAGGCAAAAUGGUGCCGUAACUUCGGGAGAAGGCACGCUGAUAUGUAGGUGAAGCGACUUGCUCGUGGAGCUGAAAUCAGUCGAAGAUACCAGCUGGCUGCAACUGUUUAUUAAAAACACAGCACUGUGCAAACACGAAAGUGGACGUAUACGGUGUGACGCCUGCCCGGUGCCGGAAGGUUAAUUGAUGGGGUUAGCGGUAACGCGAAGCUCUUGAUCGAAGCCCCGGUAAACGGCGGCCGUAACUAUAACGGUCCUAAGGUAGCGAAAUUCCUUGUCGGGUAAGUUCCGACCUGCACGAAUGGCGUAAUGAUGGCCAGGCUGUCUCCACCCGAGACUCAGUGAAAUUGAACUCGCUGUGAAGAUGCAGUGUACCCGCGGCAAGACGGAAAGACCCCGUGAACCUUUACUAUAGCUUGACACUGAACAUUGAGCCUUGAUGUGUAGGAUAGGUGGGAGGCUUUGAAGUGUGGACGCCAGUCUGCAUGGAGCCGACCUUGAAAUACCACCCUUUAAUGUUUGAUGUUCUAACGUUG